rnacentral:lncRNA from 1 species
CCGAGCGUGAUAAUUUGUAUAUUUUGUAUUGCGGAAAUGGACAAAGUUGACAAUAAAUCCUCUUUUAUGCAGUCAAUUUUGGUUUUUCAAGUGUGCAACUUGUUGUAAAUGAUGCCAGAUCGUUGGAGAUUCAUAUUGUGAAUAAUGGGUAGGCAGAAUUUAAUUAUUUUUUUCGAAAAUAUCAAUAUUUGUCGACCCGUAUGAAGGGCGCCCAUAGGACAAACCCUAUGGACAAACCAUCAUUGUUGAUGUACAUAUAAAUAUAGUUCCACCAAUUCCAAAUAAAACAUUUUGAGCUAUCGCCAUUGCUUCAUGGCAAAAUUGUGAAUGUAUUUGCAUAUUCUUUUGUAAAAGACAGCGACACUGAAAAACAUAUUUUAGUCACAGUUUAUCAAUGGCAAAAAUAGACUUAAAAUCUUAAAUAUAGUCGAUAUAUAAAAAACAUUGACACCAAAAAUGGUUCUUACUCCUUACUAUUUGUAUAUUUAUUACAUACAUACAACAUAUCAUAUAUUAUUUUAUAGUUCCAUGGAAUCACAUCAAGAUUAAAAUGUAUUAGAAGCUAGAGAAGAAUAAUUGCAACUUUUUUAUAUAUUCGCAGGCAAAAUAACAUAAUUGCUAUUGCUUUAUGUAAAUGUAGUUGAUAAUCAAACUUUCUAAAACCUUCAAUUGUAUGAAUGCUUCAAACUAUCUUUAAUAUUUGAUGUUAAGACAUAUUUCUUUCUGUUGAGUCCUAGACCUUUUGUUUUUAAUUCAAGCAAUCAAACUGCCAAAUUACUGUAAUUAUUAACAGCAUAGGUCAUUGAUAAUCAGUUGAAUUUUAGAACUGCUUUGGGAAACCCUAUUUUGUAAUGAGACACAUUACUUCUUGCAUUAUUGUAUAUUGUAAGGUCAAUGGGAUAAACUGCUUGAUGCACAGUAGAUUUUAUAAUCUUAAAUAUAGUUGCACUCACUAUUGUAUAAAUAAUGCUAUUGUUAUAAUAAAGUAUUACUUUUGACUUUGUGUAAUAGUGUUUUCUAAUUCUUUGACUCAUCAGAUGCACAAUAAUUAAACUUUUCUAAAAAAAAUAAAAUAAAUUUGCCAGUACUCUCAGGAAUUGAAAACAUGAUAAACUCUCAAUUUUUGC